UAGGGUCCAGUCUAGAGGUAGCAGAGACAUAUUAUGAACUAGACCCAUCUUCCUCAAGCUGCCACAGAAUGCAAGUGGUAAAGUUCUGAUAUUUAUGUACACUAUUUACACUAUUUAUAGGAGUGGACACAUGCCAAAACAUGAUCAUCAUAAAAUGACCAAGAUAACCAACAAAAAUAAAUCAGUUUACCUUCCUAAUGUCACAGUCCUGAUGAGAUGAUUAGCAGCAGCUGCAGGACCUGCAGCUGCUGCUGCUAAUCACUCAUCCUCUCACUAUAAAAACUGGUGAUGCAUGCAGUGCAGCACUGGAUCAUUGUCCUCCCCUUCAGUCUCCAUGUAGUGAGACUCAGCCGACAGAGCAGCGUGCGUCUUUCCCCCAGCCGUCCGCCAGAUAGUGGAUGUGGAUGUGGAUGUGGACCCGGACCCUUGCUGUCCCUGCCCCGAUCGGCCGGCCCGCUCCUCGAAGGACCCGGCGUCGUCUCUAGGUUUUCACAUUUCCAUCCUGGAGGAUCCUGCACCGGGACCAGGCCACAUGUCUGAUAAAAACACAAUGGGCACCAAGCGUGGCAUGUUCACCAAAGAGGCCAUUGAGUAGCGUUUGUUGUGUUACACUUCUGUUGUACUGAAUUCGGUAGAGAUGCAGUAUAUUUAAAGCAGGUGUCUACUAUCCAAUGAACACAACAUUGCUCAUUUUGGUCCCACAGCUGUGGAAAUGUCACUAAUUGUAAUUGGAGAUAUUUUUCAGAAGGAAUUUUUUUUUAAAAAAGCAAGAAACAAAAGCUAAGGCUUAUGACGGUAAGGGUGUGGUAAUAUGGAAAUAUGUUAAAAAGCUCUAUUUUCUAGAUUACCAGUGCUGCCCUUUCUAACAGUGACAAUGCCAGGAAAGAUUUUAAAAUGUAAAUGAAGGUUGUAAGAAGCUGCUUGAAAAGCAAAAUGUGACGUUAUUUUUUGGGAGGACACUUCAGGCCUAUUUAUGGUUAACAAUGAGCACCCCAACUACAAUUAUUAAUAGAAAUUUUGCAUGAAAAAUUACCCAGUGCAGCACUUUACAUUUAUAGUUCUGUAUUUCCUCACCAUCUUCCCUGCACUUUAAACCUCAUUCAUUUGGGACAAGUACACACAGUGACCUCUCGUAAUUUGUGAUAAUUGCAGUCAUCUGUGAUCUAAAUCUCAUGAAAGACUGCCAUGUGUGUAAUUUGCAGAGUAAAAACGUCACCACACAUUACCUCCCAUAAUUUUUGACAAACAAAGAUAUGUUCAGUGAUGAUAUUAUUCUCAUGUGAAUCAGUAUUUUAAGAAUGAUGCUUAAACGACUGCAUCCAAUUGUAACAUUGAAUAGAGAAGGUGCUCAGAGUGGGCUGUGAAUGUUUCAGAGAAAAACCCAUAAUACUAUCAUUAAAUUACCUGAUC
ensembl:lncRNA